GAUGAACGCUGGCGGCGUGCCUAAUACAUGCAAGUCGAGCGAAUGGAUUAAGAGCUUGCUCUUAUGAAGUUAGCGGCGGACGGGUGAGUAACACGUGGGUAACCUGCCCAUAAGACUGGGAUAACUCCGGGAAACCGGGGCUAAUACCGGAUAAUAUUUUGAACCGCAUGGUUCGAAAUUGAAAGGCGGCUUCGGCUGUCACUUAUGGAUGGACCCGGGUCGCAUUAGCUAGUUGGUGAGGUAACGGCUCACCAAGGCAACGAUGCGUAGCCGACAUGGGAGGGUGAUCGGCCACACUGGGACGGAGACACGGCCCAGACUCCUACGGGAGGCAGCAGUAGGGAAUCUUCCGCAAUGGACGAAAGUCUGACGGAGCAACGCCGCGUGAGUGAUGAAGGCUUUCGGGUCGUAAAACUCUGUUGUUAGGGAAGAACAAGUGCUAGUUGAAUAAGCUGGCACCUUGACGGUACCUAACCAGAAAGCCACGGCUAACUACGUGCCAGCCGCCGCUGUAA
rnacentral:rRNA from 1 species